rnacentral:rRNA from 1 species
GUGGGGAAUAUUGGACAAUGGGCGAAAGCCUGAUCCAGCCAUGCCGCGUGUGUGAAGAAGGUCUUCGGAUUGUAAAGCACUUUAAGUUGGGAGGAAGGGCAGUAAGUUAAUACCUUGCUGUUUUGACGUUACCGACAGAAUAAGCACCGGCUAACUCCGUGCCAGCAGCCGCGGUAAUACGAAGGGUGCAAGCGUUAAUCGGAAUUACUGGGCGUAAAGCGCGCGUAGGUGGUUUUGUAAGUUGGAGGUGAAAUCCCCGGGCUCAACCUGGGAACUGCCUCCAAAACUGCAUGACUAGAGUACGGUAGAGGGUAGUGGAAUUUCCUGUGUAGCGGUGAAAUGCGUAGAUAUAGGAAGGAACACCAGUGGCGAAGGCGACUACCUGGACUGAUACUGACACUGAGGUGCGAAAGCGUGGGGAGCAAACAGGAUUAGAAACCCUUGUAGUCC